GGAUUAGAUACCCGGGUAGUCCACGCCGUAAACGGUGGGCGCUAGGUGUGGGGACCAUUCCACGGUCUCUGUGCCGCAGCUAACGCAUUAAGCGCCCCGCCUGGGGAGUACGGCCGCAAGGCUAAAACUCAAAGGAAUUGACGGGGGCCCGCACAAGCGGCGGAGCAUGUGUCUUAAUUCGAUGCAACGCGAAGAACCUUACCUGGGCUUGACAUGUUCGGAAAACUCAUAGAGAUAUGGGGUCCGCAAGGGCCGAUCACAGGUGGUGCAUGGUUGUCGUCAGCUCGUGUCGUG
rnacentral:rRNA from 1 species